rnacentral:lncRNA from 1 species
AGAGACCUCGCGACUUUUACUCCCCCGACCCCGAUCUCCGACUCCUGACUUUGGAAGCCCCCAAAGCUGCUUUUCGGUUGCCUACAAAGUGUCGGUCAUUGUGCCACGUCCUUGGAACCGUGAACUCAUUUUCUCCUCAAUAACCUUUAAAAAGUAGCUGUAAAACCUCCAUUUUACAGACCAGUUGGCUGAGGUUUAAAUGGAGGACGCUCCCAGGGCCCCAGAGGGGCGAAUUCCAGACUCCUUUGCCAGGACCUUGUACUAAGCCCCUUCCCUACGCUUUUCCCUGCCUAGGCCUCGUGGGCUGUGCGGCUAUCCUGGAGACAGAUGACAGCUCUCCCUUGGAUGGCUUUGCUGGUUCCGCACCAGCCAGCGCCCCCAUUUUUCCUGCAGCACCCUGAUCUGCACUCCCUGAGGGGCUCCCACUGUCCGCGGUGUGAGGAUGUCCCUGGAAAUUGGUCUUCUGUGACUUUCUUGAUGGGGGCAGAUGAGAUCUUUGUACUGCAUUAAGUGGAUAGCGCUCAGGUCCUUUGGGCUUGGCGCUUUGGCAAUCUCCAGGCAGCUCACUUUGGCCUCUGUUCCUGGAUCCCCUUUGCUCUUUUCUGCGCCUGCAUUCAUAGUCCACUGUGUGCAGAGGCAUGGGAGUUGUCAUGUUGGGAACAUGCUAGACCUCAGUAUCCUUGAGCUUGAAGAAAGACGACAGAACACUGGAGACCAAGUACUUACAGCCUUCUGCUCUGUGGCCCCUCCUCACUCCAGGGAUGCUGCCUUGGGUCUGGAAACUGUUAGAGGAAACCCCAAGAGGUGCAGGCACUGAGCCUCUCAGGACAAUGACCUGGGGUCCCAGCUCCCCUGGAGGGGCCUCCUCAUGAUUGUUUGGGGGUUGAUCACAGACCAAGAGUGACGAGUGAUGUCACCCUGUGACUCAUGGCUGGACCUUCUUGCCCCUAUUGUCUCAGCACAACAUUAUUCGACUUUUCCCUCAGCGUGGGUGGGCAGAGGAAAAGCCCUGUGGCUCUGGGGACUUGGGAUCCAGAGUUGAAGACCCUUCAGCUGGCUCUGCCCUGCCAGUGCCACAGAGUGCCAUGGCCCAGGAAGACAGGUUUUCUUCCAUCUAGGCCAGGCCAUCCAGUGGCCAUCCUCCGUGUCCUCCCGCCUCCUCCUGGUGUGACUUCUGAAAACCAAGAAUUUGUUCCUGUUGACUUUUUCUGUGCUAUGGACCAUUGUCCUCUCACCCACUCAAUAAAUCUUGAAACAUG